rnacentral:lncRNA from 1 species
CUCCAAUUCGAAGAAUUACUUUAAUCUCUCAGUAGGUACUAGAAUCUAUACAGACUGCAUACAGGCCUGAGGAUGGCUUGAUCAACCCAUAUGCACCUAUGGGUAGGUUCUUAACCAAUUAUUUCUCUAAAUAAUUUUUAGUAGUUAAUUUAGCCUCAGAUUUCAUUUCAGUAAACAAUGGGCCUCCACUGAAAGUUUCGAUUAGGUCAAAUCAUUAACAUGAACCUACUCAAUGAUUCUAACUAAUGAAUGAUUAGGCCCAAGGAUGGCUCGAUCAACCCAACCAUCAUCAGAUAGUAUAAUAAAGUCAUUAUAUGAUGAAUGAUAAUUCCAUCAUUCAGAGAGAACACUAGAUAGAUGGUACCUGCAAUGUCAAUCAGAAAUAAUAAAUCCAUUACCAUUUAUCUUAAUGGAAGGCUAUAAUCCAAUUAUCCCCAUAACUAACUCAUUUUAUGGACCUAAUAAUUUAGAGAAUUUAAUUAAUUUAGAGAAGAGAGA